UAUCCCCAGAGAUAUUGCAGAUAUGGAUGCUGUGUCAUAUUUGUGUCAUUAAGUGGCAUAGAGAAGAAGGACUAUGUCUAUGUUCUGCCCCAUGAACAUUUGAAUGAUUAAUUGUCUGAUAUU
rnacentral:snoRNA from 1 species